GACGAACGCUGGCGGCGUGCUUAACACAUGCAAGUCGGACGGUAAGGCCCCUUCGGGGGUACACGAGUGGCGAACGGGUGAGUAACACGUGAGCAACCUGCCCUUGACUCUGGAAUAACAGUUGGAAACAGCUGCUAAUACUGGAUAUUCAUCGUCUCCUUCCUGGGGGGUGGUGGAAAGCUCCGGCGGUCAGGGAUGGGCUCGCGGCCUAUCAGCUUGUUGGUGAGGUAAUGGCUCACCAAGGCUUCGACGGGUAGCCGGCCUGAGAGGGCGACCGGCCACACUGGGACUGAGAUACGGCCCAGACUCCUACGGGAGGCAGCAGUGGGGAAUAUUGCACAAUGGGCGCAAGCCUGAUGCAGCAACGCCGCGUGCGGGAUGACGGCCUUCGGGUUGUAAACCGCUUUCAGUAGGGACGAAGGGUGACUGACGGUACCUACAGAAGAAGGACCGGCUAACUACGUG
rnacentral:rRNA from 1 species